AUGUCCAAAAUCCUUGAUGUGAUGCAAAUGAAGGAGAAGGAUGUCCUCAAAUUUCUUGCUGCAGGAACCCACUUAGGUGGCCCCAACCUUGACUUCCAGAUGGAAUGGCACAUCUGCCAAAGGAAAGCUCAUGGCAUGUACAUCAUAAGUAUGAAGAGAACCUGAGAGAAACUUCUGUUGGCAGCGUGUCAGAGGUGCCAUUGAAAACCCAACUGAUGUCAGUUUCACAUUCUCCAGGAAUACCGGCCAUUCAGUUGUGCUGGAGUCCGGGGCUGCCACUGGAGGCACUCCUAUUGCUGGCCGCUUUACUUCUGGAAACUUCACUAACCAGAUUCAGGCAGCCUUCCAGGGGCCAAGACUUCUGGUGGUUACUGAUCCCAGGGCUGACCACUGGCCUCUUACAGAAGCCUCAUAUAUUAACUCGUUUAGCAUUGCUCUAUGUAACACAGACUCUCCCCUGUGCUGUGUGGACAUCACCAUUCUGUGCAACAAGGGAGCUCACUCAGUGGGUCUGAUGGAAGUUCUGCACCUGCGUGGCACCAUCUCCUGUGAACACCCACUGAAGGUCACAUCUGAUCUCUGCGUCUCCAAAAAUCCCGAAGAGACUGACAAAGAAAAGCAGGAGGCAGCUGAGAAGGCUGUGACCAGGGAGGAAUUUCCAGGUGACUGGACCACUCUAACUCCAAAGUUCGCUGCUUCCUAA
rnacentral:lncRNA from 1 species